AUUCUUAGACUGUGAGCAUUCAUGUAAUUUAAUGACGAUCAGGUAGAAAUGAGUAUAAAAUUAUUGCAUAAAAUUAACAUAAGCUUAUUUAUAGGCCUAAAUGUUAUUUAAAAUAUUAUAUAAAAAUUUUUGUUUAACAUCUCUGAAAUUGUGUAAUAAUUUUAAUUCUAGUUUCGAAUUGUUAAAUAUUUUCGAAUUGGAAAAUAUGUGGAAAACAUUGCAAGUGAACUAUGGUUAAAUGUCACAAACAGGAUAGAAAAUAAGACAUGAUGCAAAGCGUGUGGAUUGGUAACAAUUCUACAAAGUGUGAGAUCAUUCUGCUGACUUUUUCAUAGCCUCACCCUUAUUCUAUUGUGUCUCAUCUAUCAUACAACACAUUGUGAAAUAUAAUGUCUUUUCCUUUCAUUCAAUUCUUCCGGUUCUCGGAGGUUAGGUUUAAAUAGGCUUCGGGUCGUGCGUCACAUUAACUCGCUAUAUGCAGCUGUUGAGUUGUUCUCGACUCCAUCGUAAAAACUAUAUAAUUCGCGUACUUUACUACCAAUACUGUUUCCCUUGACUUCUUGCGCAACCUAUCAACCCCGAUACGAAAACUUGUUGAUCGUUAAACCAUAUAAUACAGAAGACGACAAAAGGUAUAGAAUUCCGACCGGACAAGAAGAUCCGAGUAGCUGUCAAACCAUGGUAAACCCAAGAUAUUUCAACGGGAUUGGUGGCGGUACUUAAACGAUGACGCCUUCUAUUUAUGGGAUUUUACGACCUCUUUCGGUAUCGGGGAUCGGUAAAGAAUGGUUCUCUAUUGGUCUAUCACCCUGGCUUUAAUUAUAUUAGGUUCUUUGAAAUUGGAGCUUCGACUCAGACAUUAACAAACAGAAAUAUUCUUUCAUGCUGGCGACAACCCUACAGCGUUGUUUGCCCGAAGGAAAGCAGUUUUGACUCGUGUUUCUCUCAUUGUUGAUUUGUUUAAUAUGUGUAUAGGGUUGUACGAAAUCACAUACGCAGACUUUCCGAACAAAUAAACAAGGCAUCGUGAAAGGAAUCGUCUUUGUAACUUCGGGUUAAGUAGACGUUUACUAUCCAUUUGAUAGCGAGCUUAAAACAUAUUCUUCCUUUAACCAAAGCCGCUACAAAAUGUUUUCAAUGAGUCAAGAAUUUCAUGGUAAUUGAAGACAACCAUUAAACUGAACUACCAUUCCUUACUUUAAAGCCGAGAAAACGUCGGAAUUUUCGUUUAAAUAUAUCCAUUUGUAUAUCUAUUCUAUUGGUUUAUUAAUAAAAUAUUUCAAUAUUUUUUUUUCUUUGUUACAAAUAUUGGCGUGAGUAAUAUUUUGGAGUAACAAUUAAAACUGCAUUUAC
rnacentral:lncRNA from 1 species